rnacentral:lncRNA from 1 species
GCCUCAGUUUCACCAUCUGUAAAGCAGAGGUGAUGAUUACAGCACCUUGGUGAGAGGUUCUUGAGAAGGUUACACGGGCGCGUGCGGUAACAGCCCUUUCACAUCUAGGAAGCUGUCCCUAAGUGAAGCAAUUCUGGCUGAUGUUUCCCAAAGGGAGGAAAAUGAUGGGUAUAGAGACAAUUUCAGAAGCACUGGCCACUCCAGAAAGGACCACUCACAUAUGGUCUACAUUAUCGAUGGGGCUGUGAACGAUGCUGCUUGGAGCCGUGCAACAAGCCACCUGUCAACACCCUGCAGGAGGGGAGCUGCAUGAGGCAUGACAAAGAAGACAAAGUAAGCUCUGGACACCUAGACAAAGACCACAGAAACAACAGAGGUGUUGUGGCAACAUGAGAAGAGCACUGGCCUGAGAGGCAGGACAUCCACGUUCUGGUCCCUGCUCUGUCCCCACCUAGCUAUGUGACCUUAUGAAAGUUCCUCUUUUUUUUCCCUCUGGGCCCAGCUCCCCUAUCUGUCAAAUGAAGGAACUGGACAAGAUGAUCUUUAAGAUCUCUCCCAGCUCUGAGAGUCUACACUUACAGAUGGCAUCCCAACAUGGGCCCAGAAUCUCGCCCUCCCACUCAGCAUGGACCGCCCUCCCGCCUGCUCGCUCAAGGCAGUGUCUCUCCAGCUGACCUACUUUGUGUGGGGAGGGGAGGAGGGCAGAGAGGAGCUCUAAGCAGGGAGCGAACAACCAAAGGUUCGCCCGCCCUCCCGAGAGAUUCAGGCCCCUCUGCAGAGUGCUAACAGUUGGGACGGUGCCCCCCACCCCACCUGCUUCUGAGGCCUCUCCUGCCUGCUCCGCAGAAUGCAGCAGGCUUAAAAUAUCUGCCAGGGCAGCGGGGCUGUGUUGAUGCAUUGCUUUUAGUUCUUAAUCAUGUUGCUGAUUCACCAGGGUAUUUCUCUGACUUUCCAAACAUGUUUUUUUAAAGUCAUUCUUGCAGGAUCUUCAGGAUGUUUUAUUAAACAAAAAAGCAAGGUGCAAAACAGUGUGUAUAGGAUCCUAUCUCCCGGGCUGGCCCCGUGGCCGAGUGGUUAAGUUCGCGCGCUCCGCUGCAGACGGCCCAGUGUUUCGUCGGUUCGAAUCCUGGGCGCGGACAUGGCACUGCUCGUCAGACCACGCUGAGGCAGCGUCCCACAUGCCACAACUAGAGGAACCCACAACGAAGAAUACACAACUAUGUACCGGGGGGCUUUGGGGAGAAAAAGGAAAAAAUAAAAUCUUUAAAAAAAAAAAAAAAAAAAGAUCCUAUCUCCAAAUACAGUCACAUUCUGAGAUACUG